CCGUGCCCAAGAGAUCGGGAUAACACCUGGAAACAGAUGCUAAUACCGGAUAACAACAGAUGAUGCCUAUCAACUGUUUAAAAGAUGGUUCUGCUAUCACUCUUGGAUGGACCUGCGGUGCAUUAGCUAGUUGGUAGGAUAACGGCCUACCAAGGCGAUGAUGCAUAGCCGAGUUGAGAGACUGAUCGGCCACAUUGGGACUGAGACACGGCCCAAACUCCUACGGGAGGCAGCAGUA
rnacentral:rRNA from 1 species